ACCUCUAGCAUUUCCAGUAUUAGAGGCACUGCCUGCCCGGUGACAUUAGUUAAACGGCCGCGGUAUCCUGACCGUGCAAAGGUAGCAUAAUCAUUUGUUCCCUAAAUAGGGACUUGUAUGAAUGGCCACACGAGGGCUUUACUGUCUCUUACUUCCAAUCCGUGAAAUUGACCUUCCCGUGAAGAGGCGGGAAUAUAACAAUAAGACGAGAAGACCCUAUGGAGCUUCAAUUAACCGACCCAAAGAGUACUUUAUUAAUUAACCGACAGGAACAACAAAUCUCUAUAUGGGCCGACAAUUUAGGUUGGGGUGACCUCGGAGAACAAAACAACCUCCGAGUGAUUUAAAUUUAGACUAACCAGUCAAAAGUAUUACAUCACUUAUUGAUCCAAAAGCUUGAUCAACGGAACAAGUUACCCUAGGGAUAACAGCGCAAUCCUAUUUCAGAGUCCAUAUCGACAAUAGGGUUUACGACCUCGAUGUUGGAUCAGGACAUCCCGAUGGUGCAGCAGCUAUCAAA
rnacentral:rRNA from 1 species